rnacentral:rRNA from 1 species
CUUGGUCAUUUUAGAGGAAGUAAAAGUCGUAACAAGGUUUCCGUAGGUGAACCUGCGGAAGGAUCAUUAGUGAAUUUGUAGCCUCCAAGGCUUACAUUCUCUAUCCUUUACACACCUGUGCACCCUUCUGAAGCGGAGAGUUAUUAGGCAUUAGCCGAGCGCCUCCCUUCGGUUAUUAUAUCAACCUCAAACUACGUUUACUAGAAUGUAUACCGUCUUGUUGUAACGACAAGUACAAUCCAAUAAAACUUUCAGCAACGGAUCUCUUGGCUCAGGCAUCGAUGAAGAACGCAGCGAAAUGCGAUAAGUAAUGUGAAUUGCAGAAUCCAGUGAAUCAUCGAAUCUUUGAACGCAACUUGCGCCCUCUGGUAUUCCGGAGGGCAUGCCUGUUUGAGUGUCGUGAACACCUCAACCCUCCAAUGUUUUUGCAUUGAAGGCGUUGGUAGUGAGCGCUGCCGGACUUUGGAUCGGCUCGCUUUAAAAUCAUUAGCUGGAUCCAUUCUGACCUGGUUCUACUCGGCGUAAUAAGUUAUUAUCGUCGAGGACGCCUGGCCUUCUAGGCCGGCGGCCACAGUAAGGGUGUUUGAACCGCUUCUAACACGUCUUGCUCUUGUAGCAAACACUUGAACUUCUGACCUCAAAUCAGGCAGGACUACCCGCUGAACUUAAGCAUAUCAAUAAGCGGAGGAA